GCGGAAGCAGUCAGAAGCGGCAAAAAAUUGACUUAAAAUCCCUCGCCGCAAGGCUUACGGGUUCGAUCCCCGUCGUCCGCACCA
rnacentral:tRNA from 1 species